rnacentral:rRNA from 1 species
CCUACGGGUGGCAGCAGUGAGGAAUAUUGGUCAAUGGCCGGAAGGCUGAACCAGCCAUGCCGCGUGAAGGUCAGUGCCCUAUGGGCGUUAAACUUCUUUUGUGCGGGAGCAAUAAUGGUCACGUGUGGCCAGACGAGAGUACCGUACGAAUAAGCAUCGGCUAACUCCGUGCCAGCAGCCGCGGUAAUACGGGGGAUGCAAGCGUUAUCCGGAUUUAUUGGGUUUAAAGGGUGCGUAGGCUUUGAGGUAAGUCAGCGGGGAAAUGCCCCCGCUCAACGGGGUGAAGUGCCAUUGAUACUGCCUUGCUGGAAUGCGGAUGCCGUGGGAGGAAUGUGUGGUGUAGCGGUGAAAUGCAUAGAUAUCACACAGAACACCGAUUGCGAAGGCAUCUCACGAAUCCGCGAUUGACACUGAUGCACGAAAGCGUGGGGAUCGAACAGGAUUAGAUACCCGAGUAGUC